AUGUCUAACUUGCAAGGUAAUAGAUCUGAUCUAUUGUUUAAUACAUACAUUAGAUGUAGUAUAGAAACAUGUUGAUAUGAUCAACAUGUAGUUCAUGCUAUAUUUAUAUAUUUUAAUUUCUGAUUUAAUGCUAUGUAAUAAUCAUGUAAAGAUCUUAGAUCUAGGGAUUUUCUAGUUUUAAAAAAUAAAUUUUAAUUUAUUUUAGUUUUUCGUUGUAUGAUCUUGAAAAAGUUUCAAGAUCUAACCCUGAAACCCUAGAUCUGGUUCCUACAAUUGGUAUCAGAGCCUAGGUUCUUUAUUACAUGAUUAUUUAUACAUGCUUAGAUUAUUUCUUAGAUUAGAUUUAAUUUAUAAUCUGAUUAUUAAAUUUAAAAUUAAAAUUUUAGAUCAAU
rnacentral:lncRNA from 1 species